GGUACGUUCGUUUGAACAGCCAGUGUGGCACUGAGUGCCGCACUCGUCGGUGCCAGUUUUGGUUCAAACGAACAUUCUUUUUCAGUGUGCAUGGAACUCGCAUGAAACUGAAAAAAUAUCGAGUGCGGCACUAGAGUUUCAGUUCCAAGAUGGCGGCAAAACUCGUGCGGAACUAGCGCGAGUUUCUUCAAAGAAACACUUUGACAGCUCUGAGUGCGGCACUCAGUGUGGAACUAGCCAUCAAACGAACGUACCAUAAGAUGCAAUUCCAUUGAUCGCAAAACGUCAUGACGGUGACGUGAUGCAGUGUUUUGAUUAUAAACAUUUAAGCGCCAACUGCGAUCGUUUCGAAGUAUUUGGUGUUGUUUAAUUUUUGCGCUGUUUUUUCCAUUAGGCUCGUUGCAGCUUUGUCCAAAGUGAAGGUAGAUCCGAUUACGGAGGUCCACGAAGUAGAUUCCGGAAAGCCGAAUUGCUCCUGCGCGGGCUGUGUCUGGUGCAGAAUUUUUGAACCAGGGUCUCACGGCCAAAGCAAUUGUUUAUCCAGUCGGCAACGCUGGGGAACUGUCACAAAAAGGUAUGAUUGUUGACCGAUUUUGGAAUCGCCCAUAUUUUUGCUAGUUCCGGCCAACAUGACGAACGAUCAAGGAGGAACGAUGAAGGAGGUGGUGGCUCCAACGGCAAAAAAGCAAAUAAGAAAACGUCCAGCCGACUCUGCCCAUAGAAGAUGCGGCCGUACUUCUGUUGAUGCCUUCCAUCGUUUCCGCUUUAAACAGUGGGUCAAACGGCACUCUCGCGAUGCAAACAACAGACAGGAAUUUCAAUUAUGCUGUUACAUCCGGCGAGCGUUGCACCAGAGGUGGAACCGGUGGCUACUUUUGCACUAGGAACGGAGUUUAAUCACAACGUCACGUGUUGCCAAGGAGGACGGGGCAACGCUUCAGGUGAUCAGUGCUGACUAUGUGACGAGCUUGUGUAGAGUCGGAACCAACCGCCUCAUAUCAGCUCGUGCUCGCCACACCGCCGCCGAAAGCCUUAUUCGCCCUGCUGACUCCGCGGUCUCAGCGAUCGAGCCCCGGAAGUCCCACUGGGAUCCGGAAGGGAGACCAAACGCUACACGUGGCUCCAGAGAGAGCCAUCCAUCGCGCCAGCCGUUCCUGUCCAGCCGCUGGUCCAGAUUCGCCGCAGGAGUCCACCAGACCGUAGACGUCGGUCCACGUGGUCACGCGCCGUCCAGGUUCCCGAAGGAGGCGACCCGUCCACCAGACCGACCAAUCAGCCAAGCCCGAUUUCAACCAGGCCGCCCCCUUCAGGGUUUCGACGUUUCACGGCCGGCGGUGAUUGAAACAGCAACGGCAGCAUAACCAUUAUCGAGAGCAUCGACCAGUGACAUCGUGUCGGCUGAUGACAACAUACAAAUAAUCUAGACUGAAAUCCUCACCUCAAUCUAGCUUUUCAUGUAGGGGAAAAACAUUAUUGUCCCAACAAAGUAUGGGACGAAAGGAUUCUGCCAUGGCAAAAUUCAAAGUCGGUUGGAGGUCUUUGGAGCUGGCAAUAGAUCCAAUUCUGUCUGAGUCUCUUCGGCGGAAGUGGAAACAUUAUUCAAAACGUACUGAUUUUGUAGUUGAAGUUGAAUUCAUUGGAAUAAUCAGAUACUGAAUUUGUAGCUUGCUAGGAUCUGAAAAUGAAUUCCGCUAAGUGCGACAAGAUCAUCAGGGUGCUAUACGCUCUCAUCAACCAGCGGUACCCUUGAAUCUCAACUCGAAGCUCCUGAACUACACAGUAAAAAAAUAUGGUAAUAGGGUAUUUGUCCCUAUUUUGGGCCUACUAAGCAGAGCGCACUUUUAAUUUGAUGUAUUCUCAAAGGCUGCUAUUGGCAGCCUAGUUUGUUUUACAUGAAUAAGUUGGUUUUUUAAUGCUUAAGCUCGUACAUAAUAAACAUUUUGAUAAAAUUGCCUUAUAUUGCUGUAAAAGCAAGAAAAACUAAAACACUUUUUGCCCCUAUUUUGGGGAUAUUGCUCCUAGCAUACGACCUUCUUUGUGCAUAUUUUCGGCCUACCUUCUGAUUGGUUGAUAUCUCGAAGCACGUGGCGAACUUUUUUGACGUACGGUUCAGCCCUAGCUUGUACAGUUCAGCCCCAAAAAGUACGGUCACCAAACAGGCUAAAUCGUUGUGCGGUUUCAAGCCACAAAUCAUCGUUAGAAUGAUUGAUUUAACCAGUAACUGUUAAAUUACGUGCAUAAAUUUAAUGAGCAUAAUUUAUUUCGUUAAUUUGUGAGCUUUAAAUAUAAUUAAAUAUUUGUUGCGUAGCCAAAUAAUUAACCCGUACUACGCGAGUAAGGACUUUGAGAUGUGAAAGGCGCGCACACACUGUUAGAGCGAGUUGUGGCGCUAUAACCACGGCAAGUAGUGUCCAGGGCAUUCGUGGAAAUACAAUGUCCCAUCCCAGAGGGUCCCGGAGUACCAAACCCUCUUAGCAUGGUGCUCCCAACGAAUACAACCAAAUCUCGGAGCGUAUGGUGGUGUGUCCCCACGCUUCUUCCUCCCCUGUCGAUUCAGAAUUGUGUUGUUGUUCGAACACUCAGUGCUCAAACUCAACCCAAUUACGAGUCAUCUCUGCGAUACGGCUUUACGCAGUAGGCCUGGCCGGUUUAACGCUUGUGAUGUUUCAAUGCAUUCCGAUGCAAUGGCGCACUACAAAUGUUAAUAAAUGACAAGAAGAGUGCUAGGCGUCAUCUAACCUAAGGCACUCUCCAGGAUCCCUUCGAAAGAUUGGCUGCGCUAGGGUCUGAUUAGAUUAGAUUAGAUUGAAAGGCGCGCACACACUGUCACAGUUUGUAGAAGUGAGUCUAUUCACGCCAGGUUACACAUGACGCCAUUUUGGAUUUUUCCGGCGCCAAUAUUUAGAGAAUAAUUAGUGCUAUUUAGUGCUCUAAGGGCAGAUUUAGUGCUCUUCAAAUUUCCAUACAAACUCCCAUACAAAAUAUUGACACUCACGCCAGGUUACACAUGCCGCCAUUUUGGAUUUUUUUGGGGUCAAUAUUUAGAGAAUAAUUAGUGCUAUUUAGUGCUCCAAGGGCAGAUUUAGUGCUCUUCAAAUUUCCAUACAAACUCCCAUACAAAAUAUUGACACUCACGCCAGGUUACACAUGCCGCCAUUUUGGAUUUUUUUUGGGGUCAAAAUUUAGAGAAAAAUUAGUGCUAUUUAGUGAACCAAGGGAAGAUUUAGUGCUCUUCAAAUUUCCAUACAAACUCCCAUACAAAAUAUUGACACUCACGCCAGGUUACACAUGCCGCCAUUUUGGAUUUUUUUUGGGGUCAAAAUUUAGAGAAAAAUUAGUGCUAUUUAGUGCUCCAAGGGAAGAUUUAGUGCUCUUCAAAUUUCCAUACAAACUCCCAUACAAAAUAUUGACACUCACGCCAGGUUACACAUGCCGCCAUUUUGGAUUUUUCCGGCGCCAAUAUUUAGAGAAUAAUUAGUGCUAUUUAGUGCUUCAAGGCCAGAUUUAGUGCUAUUCAAAUUUCCAUACAAACUCCCAAACAAAAUAUUGACACUCACGCCUAGUUACACAUGCAGCCAUUUUGGAUUUUUUUGGGCCAUUUUAAAUUUUUUUGGGUAAAAAUUUAGAGAAAAAUAAGUGCUAUUAAGUGCUCCAAGGGCAGAUUAAGUGCUCUUCAAAUUUCCAUAUAAACUCCCAUACAAAAUAUUGACACUCACGCCAGGUUACACAUGCCGCCAUUUUGGAUUUUUUGAGGUCAGAAUUUAGAGAAAAAAUAGUGCUAUUUAGUGCUCCAAAGGCAGAUUUAGUGCUCUACAAAUUUCCAUACAAACUACCAUACAAAAUUUUGACUGGGUUACACAUGGCAUCAUUUUGAAUUUAUUGGGAUCAAAAUUUAGAGAAAAAAGAGAUCUAGUGCUCCAAAGCAGAAUAAGUGCUUUUCAAUUUUCCUUACAAACUUCAUGAUAAAUUUCUAAAUAAAGUUUUAUUUGGAAACUUUUAAUUAGUUUCAAUAAACAUAAAAAAAAAACAAUAAUAUUAAAUAGCUGGUGAUGAGCUGCAGGCAUGCAAUUCCAAAUAUACUUUGAUUAUGACCAAAAUUAAUAUUUUUUUAACUAGUAUGCAUUAGUGCACUGGCUGGUGAUACGCAAUAGACCUGAAAUUGAAAAUAUAAUUUGAUAAUAAACAAUAUUAAUGAAUUUUCAACCUGUAUGAAUUAGUGCUCUGGCUGGAUAUGAGCAAUAGACAGAAAAUUGAAAAUAUACUUUAAUUAUGACCUAAAUUAAUGAUUUUUCAACUUUUAUGAAUAAGUGCUCUGGCUGGUGAUGAGCAAUAGACUUGAAUUUGAAAAUAUACUUUGAUAAUAAAAAUAAUUAAUGAUUUUUCAACCUGUAUGAAUUAGUGCUCUGGCUGGAUAUGAGCAAUAGACAGAAAAUUGAAAAAAUACGUUAAUUAUGACCGAAAUUAAUGAUUUUUCAACUUUUAUGAAUUAGUGCUCUGGCUGGUGAUGAGCAAUAGACAUGAAUUUGAAAAUAUACUUUGAUAAUAACCAGUAUUAAUGAUUUUUCAACCUGUAUGAAUAAGUGCUCUGGCUGGUUAUGAGCAAUAGACAUGAAAAUUGAAAAUAUUCUUUAAUUAUGACCUAAAUUAAUGAUUUUUCAACUUGUAUGAAUUAGUGCUCUGACUGGUGAUGAGCAAUAGACAGAAAAUUGAAAAUAUACUUUAAUUAUGACCGAAAUUCAUGAUUUUUCAACUUGUAUGAAUUAGUGCUCUGGCUCGUGAUGAGCAAUAGACAGAAAAUUGAAAAUAUACUUUAAUUAUGACCGAAAUUCAUGAUUUUUCAACUUGUAUGAAUUAGUGCUCUGGCUCGUGAUGAGCAAUAGACAGAAAAUUGAAAAUAUACUUUAAUUAUGAUUUUUCAACUUGUAUGAAUUAUUGCUCUGGCUGGUGAUGAGCAUUCUCCGGCAUUGUACACCUUAGGAUGAAAUUUUGAAAAGCGUAUAUGACCUAUUUGGAUAUUUUUACUCGAUUCUAGACUACUUGAAGCUUCAAAAAUCAUGGUUUUCAUUAAUUGAUCUUUUGAAUAUCAUUAUGUACAGGUUGGUUAAGUUAUGCAUCAAUUCGUGAUAAAAUCAUCGUUUUAAAACAUUUUUCUGAAAACUCCUAGUUUUCAGCGAAAUAAAAUCCAAAAAUUAUCCUUUUUAUAGCAUUUUGUAGGUUUUUAGAUGUACUAAUCGGAAAUGUCAUGGAUCUGCAGUUUAUCUUAAGUUAAGUAUUUUUUCAAACUAGUGUAAGUUUACCAUUUUAUUGCGUUGCAACGUCACGAAAAAGGGACAGUUGUUAAUGCCAAAAGAAAACUAAACAUUCAAUCAUUUUGAUAAUUCGGAUGCUCUUUGUACUUAGAAAGAGCUUUCAAAUGCAACCUAGAGCGACUAAAUUAGUUGUCAAGAUCCAAAGUUACAACAGGUUUAAGUUUGCGUUGCAACGUCACGAAAAUUUAAAUCAUAUUGGUCAAA